UGGGGAAUAUUGCACAAUGGGGGAAACCCUGAUGCAGCGACGCCGCGUGAACGAAGAAGGUAUUCGUAUCGUAAAGUUCUGUCCUAUGGGAAGAUAAUGACAGUACCAUAGAAGAAAGCUCCGGCUAAAUACGUGCCAGCAGCCGCGGUAAUACGUAUGGAGCGAGCGUUGUCCGGAAUUAUUGGGCGUAAAGGGUACGCAGGCGGUUUAAUAAGUCGAAUGUUAAAGAUCGGGGCUCAACCCCGUAAAGCAUUGGAAACUGAUAAACUUGAGUAGUGGAGAGGAAAGUGGAAUUCCUAGUGUAGUGGUGAAAUACGUAGAUAUUAGGAGGAAUACCAGUAGCGAAGGCGACUUUCUGGACCAUUACUGACGCUGAGGUGCGAAAGCGUGGGGAGCAAACAGG
rnacentral:rRNA from 1 species